CACACCCUCUGUCUCUCUCUCUCUCUCUCUCUCUCUCUUGCUCUACCUCUCUCUCUGUCUCUCUCUUUCUCUCUCUCUCUCUCCUGCUUGUGUGACAUGUGAUAUCUAGAGAAAGGUGACUCAGUAGCACAUCGCCAUAGUAACUGCCACCACAGCGAUGACUUAUGCAGGCAGCACUACCAUUUUUUCCCUAAAGGUUUCCUACAGUCACUACAACCAAUCAACUCAUCAUUCGCUCAAUCAGCUGAUCUAUCAAACAAUCAGUACUGUAUGUUCUAGUUAUGAUAGAUAGUGCCUCAGGCCAGCUGUCUUUGAACAGCAAUCAAAGCUUUUUCAGUACUGAAAUGCUAAGACAGCCUCACUAAAGAAGAAUCAAAAAUAAGAACAUGAGUAUUACCAGAGCACUGGUCCAUGUAAUGUGCACUAAGGACUAAGAACCAGAUCACACUAAGGACUAAGGACCCGAUCACACUGAGGACCAGAUCACACUGAGGACCAGAUCACACUGAGGACCAGAUCACACUAAGGACCAGAUCACACUAAGGACUAAGGACCAGAUCACACUGAGGACCAGAUCACACUGAGGACCAGAUCACACUGAGGACCAGAUCUAAGGACCAGAUCACACUAAGCACUGAGGACCAGAUCACACUGAGGACCAGAUCACACUGAGGACCAGAUCACACUGAGGACCAAAUCACACCGAGGACCAGAUCACACUAAGGACCAGAUCACACUAAGGACUAAGGACCAGAUCACACUAAGGACUGAGGACCAGAUCACACUGAGGACCAGAUCACACUGAGGACCAGAUCACACUAAGGACUGAGGACCAGAUCACACUGAGGACCAGAUCACACUGAGGACCAGAUCACACUAAGGACCAGAUCACACUGAGGACUAAGGACCAGAUCACACUGAGGACCAGAUCACACUGAGGACCAGAUCACACUAAGGACCAGAUCACACUGAGGACUAAGGACCAGAUCACACUAAGGAC
ensembl:lncRNA